UACGUAGGUGGCAAGCGUUGUCCGGAAUUAUUGGCGUAAAGCGCGCGCAGGCGGUCCUUUAAGUCUGAUGUGAAAGCCCACGGCUCAAACCGUGGAGGGUCAUUGGAAACUGGGGGACUUGAGUACAGAAGAGAAGAGUGGAAUUCCACGUGUAGCGGUGAAAUGCGUAGAGAUGUGGAGGAACACCAGUGGCGAAGGCGACUCUUUGGUCUGUAAACUGACGCUGGAGGCGCGAAAGCGUGGGGAGCAAACAGG
rnacentral:rRNA from 1 species